GAUGAACCUAUAAAAAUAAUUUAUUUUCGUGGUUAUUAACUGAACCAAACCAUACCAAACCGAGAUACGAAUCGAACCGAUUUACGUGAUUAUGGUGCGGUCAAAAAAUUGGUGGUGCAGUUAUGGUUUUGGCCGAACCGACCCAUAACCGAACUGUUGCCAACCCUAGCACACACCACAGCUGCAGGCAGAUUCCCUGAGGCAUGAACCUCAUAAAGACGCUCAAAGCAUAAGCUUCAAGACUUUUAACAAAGGCCUCAUGUGCCUCGAGGUGUAAACCUCUACGUGCUUUUGAGCCUAGCAUGAUGGCAGUUACUCGGUUUAUCUGGAUAAAAGGAAUGUGGGAAUAUUUCAGGAUCAUACACUGAUUUUUUCUUUACUGCUUGUGGUAAAGGGUGUGGUAUGUAUUAGUUGUCAAGGUUUGGUUGAUGUGAUGCAAUGGCAAUGCAUUUUUUAUUUUUUUUUAAUAAUCUUGUUUUAUUUCUUUGUGAACUACUGCAAUUUAUGAUAUCUUUCCUCAAUAAUUUUGCCACUUGCCAUCUAGUAAUUGAAUUUCUAUAUUCAUGGAAAGGCAAAAUUGAAUGUAGCUAUAGGAGAUGAACUCAUCUAUCGUGAACUUCUUUUCAAUGUUUUUUGUUACAGUUCUCCUCUACCGCUUAGGCAUCCGAUGCACGUGGUGGUUGGUCGUCCCAUUGUGCCAAAGAGAAACCCACAACCUACUGUUGAAGAGGUUGCUGAAGUUCAUGGGCAGUUUGUCGAAGCACUUCAAGAACUUUUUGAAAGGCACAAGGCGAGGGUGGGUUACGCUGAUAUGCAGCUGAAAAUUCUGUAAGAAAAUCAGUCUGUACCUGUAAAAUUAUCCGAAUAUGAUUAGUGUUCCUUGUUUGGCUUCUUUUUGUCCAUUCUAGUACUGCCAAAAUAAAUUCCCCGUGAAGUGAAAAUAGAACAGGAAAAGAAAACUAAAGAAUAGCUGCAGAUAACAAUCGCGUAGGAGUACAUGAUGUGCUAUACAUUUGACAUUUGUACG